AACAUUUUGUAAGUAUAUUUUCUGCAGUUAUUUUAGUUACAAAUUACAGUACAUACAUAUUAAUAUAAUUUCAAAUAUAAUAUUUGUUUCUGUAAAGUUAUGCCGCCACUCUGCCUUCUUCAUACUUUUCAUUUAUUGGAUUUUUUUUGUUUGUUCUUCAAGUGAAUUAAAAUUAAGCCUCCAUUUUGGUUCAAAGUACAGAUUUUUUUUUUAUUAUGGUCACAUUGUAAGACAAAAUUAGUUGUGUUUACAUUUUCACAGUUUUAAAACAAAGAUUUUAAUCAAAACUGUCGAGAAAGUCGCAUUUUGUAGUUAGCACCGUUGUCUGGCAACUUUCCGGUUUGUGUCAAAAUAUUAAAAAAAAAAUGAUUCUUAAAUUGGUAACUUUGGUUUCAUUAGUUCUUGUUUUGUUUGAGUGCCAUUUGCAGAGAGGUAGUUUUGUUUCUGUACCAGUUUUUUUGUAUUUUUUUUUGUUGUUUGAGGUGCCUUCCUUUUUUCCUUUAUUGACAUUCCACCAAAGUCAUGUGAGUUUGUGUUGUAUGUGUUUGUGUGUGCCUAUAUGCUAUUUAUAAAAUUUGAUAAAUUGUGGUUCACUGCGAGGUUUGUUGAAAACAUUUCUCGUCGAGGUAGAUUGGCAGCAAGUGUUUUUUUUUUCUUCCUUUUUCGUUUGACUUGUUUUUUACCUUUCAUUUCCAUACACAUCCCUGCACGUCAACUGAGCUGUCUUCGGAGGUAUUUUGUCGAAUAUUUUGAUGAAUAAAUUUUAUAUUUAUUAAACUUUUUACCUUCAUGGUCUGGAGACAAAACGCGUUUGCGUGCUCAGUGAGCAACAAGACGGACGACGACGGGUUCCGAUUUUUUAUAUGAGAAAAUCUCUGCCGAAGAAUUUAAUAAAUUUCCUCUUUUCUACCACCCCCUCUGACUCAAAGUCGUCGUCCGUCCCAAAGGCUCUUCCUAGCUGCAGGCCACGUAAUUCGCUCGCCCAGUUUCCGUCUGCUCGAGACGUCGUUUCCAAUUUCCAUUCUUCAGGUUUGAUCGUUUCCAUUUCUAGUUUUGCUGUUUUUUGGUUUCGGCGCGCGUGUUUUUCCCGCGCCCCCUACUCCAAUACCGCAAACCACCUCUUGUGUGUUUUUUUAUCUACAAUGUUUAGCUUUUUUAUUGGCAACCAUUUUUAUCUGUUUCUGACAUUGCACAUAUUGCUAUUACAUGUUACGCAACAUAAAAAAAAUAAAAAAGAGAACUCUUUGUUUUCCUUUUUCACUUUUUCCUCCUGAUUUUGCUUAUCUUAUUGGCAAGCUCUCCUGCACGGAACAGCUUUUCUGAUAAAUUUAGACUCUGUGGCUGUCGCCAUAAAUAAGCCGCACCCAGAAACAGAAAAAUAAAUAAUAAUCAUAAAACAAAAUUUGCUGUACUUGGAAAAGCUCACUCGCAUUUACAGCACCGGAUUCUCGGACCGGGCAACCCGCACCCUCUAUCUCAACUUUCACUUGUUCUGGGUUCGAUUCGACUGAUGCAACAACACACUUAUUGGGCCAAAUUUUUAAAAAUCCUAUUCAAUUUGGUGGAUAUCCUUUAAAUUAAUCUGACACAAUUUCAAACUUUCAAAGAAGUUUUAAAAAUAAGAAAUUUCAGUAAUCGAAAUUGGUUUAGGUUAAGCAUUAAAAAAAACAUGCCGAAGGAUUUGUUUCCCUCAAUUUCUAGGCGUUCAGUACAUUUGAAUAAAAAUGUAAUUAACAUAAACCAGGGUACGAUCCAUUUCUAAACAGUGGACGCAACGAACACAAACAUAAAUAUUUAAUAAAUAAUAACACAAUGUUUCAACUGAGUGAAUAAAUUAAACUCCAUUAAACUUUCGACUAAAAAUAAGUCAAGUGUCGAAUAAAAUUAAGGAAAUGAAGUGCUGCUUUGCAUUCUAGGCCAUGUUUUUUUGUCGUGGGUGGUGACCAUUUUCUUCCAUGCCAUCAUCCUUUUAAUGCGGAUGUCGACGUGGUUUUCGAUUACCAUUCGAGCCUACAAAUCGAGAUCCCCAUUCUCUUUACAGUUUUACACCUUCCCCCUAUCUGGGUAGAUGAAAGUUGAGAGCAGCCGGUCGGAAAAUAACGGAAAUUUCACCUCUUACUUGCUGGGGUUAGUUAUAUUUUUUGGUUUACUUUGUCUUGUCUUAUGAAUGUAUUUAAAACCUCAUACACCUAAUAUAAUUUUACUUUCUUUUUCUAAAUACUAAUUUUGAUUUUGUGCCUCCGAUAUAGUUUUUCAUCCUUUUCAUUACUCUAAAGAUUUUAUGAUUUUUGUAGAGAGAAAACAAACCAAUAUCGAAAAAAAACAUCACUAGUUUUGUCGACAACAGAGAAUACUUUGUAAUUCUUAAACUGAAUUUGAUGAAAUUGAAACUUUUUUGAUUCCUGAGUGUGGUUUACCACAUUGCAAAAAUAGGCAGAAAUUAAACCUGCUAUGAUAACUUAACGCUACACACCCUUCGGUAACAAGAUUUUGAUUUUCGCUCAUCUUAAAACUACGUUUAUCCUUAAUCUAUUUUAGCUGUCACAGUUUGAAACAUACAUUUAGCCGAAAAUUAAAGAAAAAGAUAAAAAAGCCAACUUCCGACUCUCCGAAGUUAAUCCCGCUGAAACCAGUGAAAAUUGAAACAAAUCACUGUUUUAUGCGUACGGCCGGUGUUAAUGUAAAUUUGCCACGUGGGACAGCAAGGACAUUCUACCACGUUGACUGGCGGAAAGGGAACACAAAUCGAUUGGGUGGUGAUAGAGGGGGAGGGGGGUGGUUAUUUGAGGAGGUAUGCUGAUGAUAAUUAGGAGGAUAUUUUGUGAACUUUUUAUUCAAAUGAGAGAUUUGAUCGUUGGUAGAGAUUGGCAUUGGGUUUGACCUGAUUGGGAUAGUGAUUAGAAAUUAGAGGACAAGCAAGGUAACUGGAGCGAGUUUUCAUCACCUGAGCAAAAAAUAAUAAAAAUGGUUUUAUCAUUUUUAUUAGUCACAACAAAUAUUUUUAUUGUUUUUUUUAUCAUUUUCUAGAAACAUAUCUUUAAUUUUUUUAACUCAAGCAUUUUAACUUGCUAAAUGUUUUUCAUAUUUCUGCCCGCAUAUCGAAAACACAUAUAAACUUGAUAAAAUAUUGAUUAGAAGAUUUCUUCGAUAUUUUUAACCUAUUCGUCUUAGCAUGAUUUUAAGUGCACAGGCGAAAAGCACGAAUAGUUGGAAUAUUAGUAGCAUUUGGUCAAUAGAAACGCUAACGGCAUCUAUCCAGACUUUUAAGCGAAGAUGGGGUUACAAUGGUGCACGUCCGAAAUGUCAAAAUCACGCAGUGGAUCCAACAUUACAAAAAAAAGUGUGCUAUGGCAUGACAGCCAAUUUUUAUUAUCUAAUGUUGGUAUCACUGCGCGAUUUUGACAUUUCGGACAUUCUAGCACUAAUUGAAUAAUUAUAAAACAUUAUUACAUUACCGCAUCAAAACAAAAAAACGAUACUAUUCCUUUAAACGAAAAAAAACACGCGUUUUUGUUCGAUAGCACAAUUAUGCACGUCACUUUUAUGCCAAACAUCUCACAUACUGUCCGGAUUAAACCAACAUCAUUCAGCUCAAUACAAUGUACCAGUCCGAAUUUGGUGCACUGAUAACCCAACCUGUGCUAUCACUGGCACAGUUCAAAAAGCUGCAUAAUGCUCAAGGUAUAUAAAAGGCCCCCUGCAGUUACAACAAUCAGUUCAGUGGUGUUCCUCCAACGCAGAACUACAAGCAGGAUGAAGCUGAUCAUUGCCGCGAUCGCGGUGUCCCUGGCCGUCGUGGUCAGCGGAUCGUACGUCCAGCAGACCAGCAAAAAUGACAAAAUGAUGAAGUUUGCAGCCACCCCAAAGAGUGAUACGCAUCGCAGAAGGAAAACAACUUCACACUAAAUGCGAAGGCCAGCGUCAUUUUCCCUGCCGUUAGCCGCCCAAAAACUGAAGAAACGGGGCAAGUGGUGAAAAGCGGUCAUGCGGGAGCGAUAAGAGCAGAAAAGUUUCUUUUUUCUUUACUUUUUUUUCGUCGAAAAUUUUCCUCUCCGUACGCACUUUCCCCGCACCGCGCUUCCCCCUCCGCCGCAGGUUUCAUUUUCCAGCGGCCGGCAAGGUCCGAGCUGUCCAUCCAUCUAUCUAUUCAUCCAUCGUGUCCGGAACGAACUUUCCAAGACUGCCGGACACACGAACACGAAAAGCGCCUGAGCUAAAUUAGAGCAGCCAGAAAAAAGUGUGUCUGUGUGUGCGCGUGUUUCUCACUUUUACAAAAGAAGGAAGAAAGGAAAAAUAAUAAAAUAAAAUAAAAUGAGAAGA